UUUAUGGAGAGUUUGAUCCUGGCUCAGAGUGAACGCUGGCGGCGUGCCUAAUACAUGCAAGUCGAACGAUGAAGCUUCUAGCUUGCUAGAGUGCUGAUUAGUGGCGCACGGGUGAGUAACGCAUAGGUUAUGUGCCUCUUAGUUUGGGAUAGCCAUUGGAAACGAUGAUUAAUACCAGAUACUCCCUACGGGGGAAAGAUUUAUCGCUAAGAGAUCAGCCUAUGUCCUAUCAGCUUGUUGGUAAGGUAAUGGCUUACCAAGGCUAUGACGGGUAUCCGCCUGAGAGGGUGAACGGACACACUGGAACUGAGACACGGUCCAGACUCCUACGGGAGGCAGCAGUAGGGAAUAUUGCUCAAUGGGGGAAACCCUGAAGCAGCAACGCCGCGUGGAGGAUGAAGGUUUUAGGAUUGUAAACUCCUUUUGUUAGAGAAGAUAAUGACGGUAUCUAACGAAUAAGCACCGGCUAACUCCGUGCCAGCAGCCGCGGUAAUACGGAGGGUGCAAGCGUUACUCGGAAUCACUGGGCGUAAAGAGCGCGUAGGCGGGAUAGUCAGUCAGGUGUGAAAUCCUAUGGCUUAACCAUAGAACUGCAUUUGAAACUACUAUUCUAGAGUGUGGGAGAGGUAGGUGGAAUUCUUGGUGUAGGGGUAAAAUCCGUAGAGAUCAAGAGGAAUACUCAUUGCGAAGGCGACCUGCUGGAACAUUACUGACGCUGAUUGCGCGAAAGCGUGGGGAGCAAACAGGAUUAGAUACCCUGGUAGUCCACGCCCUAAACGAUGGAUGCUAGUUGUUGGAGGGCUUAGUCUCUCCAGUAAUGCAGCUAACGCAUUAAGCAUCCCGCCUGGGGAGUACGGUCGCAAGAUUAAAACUCAAAGGAAUAGACGGGGACCCGCACAAGCGGUGGAGCAUGUGGUUUAAUUCGAAGAUACACGAAGAACCUUACCUAGGCUUGACAUUGAGAGAAUCCGCUAGAAAUAGUGGAGUGUCUGGCUUGCCAGAUCUUGAAAACAGGUGCUGCACGGCUGUCGUCAGCUCGUGUCGUGAUGUUGGGUUAAGUCCCGCAACGAGCGCAACCCCCUUUCUUAGUUGCUAACAGGUUAUGCUGAGAACUCUAAGGAUACUGCCUCCGUAAGGAGGAGGAAGGUGGGGACGACGUCAAGUCAUCAUGGCCCUUACGCCUAGGGCUACACACGUGCUACAAUGGGGUGCAAAGAGAAGCAAUACUGCGAAGUGGAGCCAAUCUUCAAAACACCUCUCAGUUCGGAUUGUAGGCUGCAACUCGCCUGCAUGAAGCUGGAAUCGCUAGUAAUCGCAAAUCAGCCAUGUUGCGGUGAAUACGUUCCCGGGUCUUGUACUCACCGCCCGUCACACCAUGGGAGUUGUGUUUGCCUUAAGUCAGGAUGCUAAAUUGGCUACUGCCCACGGCACACACAGCGACUGGGGUGAAGUCGUAACAAGGUAACCGUAGGUGAACCUGCGGUUGGAUCACCUCCUUU
rnacentral:rRNA from 1 species